CAAAAUAAAAAUAGCGAAAAAAAAAAAGAUUCUGAGAAUGUCGUCUUCCCCCGUUAUCUAAAUUUUGCUGAGUUAAGAAGAAACAUUAUCUUAAAAGAAAAAGAAGUUUUAGAAAAGCGAAAAAUAAAAAUGGAAAAAGAAAAAACUAAUGAUAGCAAUCAGGUUGUGUACAGAUCGUUUGAUGAGUUUUAUAAAUAUAAAAAAAAUUAUGAGGAACACGAAAAUAAAGUAAAAAAUGAAGCAUUUAAAUUACUUAGCAAAAAAUCUUAUAAUAAAUCCCAUGAAAAUAAACAAUACAAUAAAAGUGCUACUAUUACUCAUACGACAACAAAAACUGAAAGCAAUAGCAGUAGUAAUAGUCAAAGCAAAUACAAAAAUAAACCAAGUAAUAAAUUAUGUUUUUUAAACGAAGCAUGUGAAAAAAACGAUAAGUAUUCUUACAUCAAAUUUAAAGAAGAAAGACAAGGAACCGUACAACAAUUGAAAGACUAUUUUCAAAAAAAACACAAUCAACAGGUAGAAAGAAAAAACGAAGAAUUAGCUUUAAAUAAAAAAAGAACAAACAUAAAAAAACAAUAUACUGAUAGUAAUAUUUUAUAUGACAAAAAUAAGCGAAAUAACAGUUACAGUUAUGAUAAAAAAGAAAACUUUUUUUAUAAAAGAAAUGAAGGAAUAAAUGAAGGUAUAAAUGAAGGUAUAAAUGAAGUAGAAUGUUUAAAAAAUGAGUCAAGUGUUGUUACAGAUAGAGAUACAGAGUAUUGUAAUAGCAAUGUCGAUACAGAGGAUAUAGAGUGUGUUGGUAAUCCAUUUGUUAAUGAUGAGAAUGUUAUUAAUUAUUGUGCCGAGAAUGGUAGUGAAAAUGAAGGAAGUGUUAAUGGCCCUGAUUUUGCAAACAACAAGAAUAGCAACAUUAUUAAAAAGUGGAAUGAUGUUAGAAUUAGUCAAACUAUUAAUAAUUGUGAAGAUAACACAAUUGACACAGAAAACAGAAAUAAAUUAGAAUUUGAACCGAUAAAUAUGAAAAAUGAAAAUACAGAAAUAAAAGAUAUUGAACUGCUAUAUAAUUUAAUUAAUGAAAUACAAAAAAAUUAUGAUAAGGAUGAAGAUUAUAUUACUAAACUAAUAGAAGAACUACAUAAUUCAAAUAAAAGGUAUAUGAUAGAUAAAAUACUAAACAUAUUAAAAAUAUUUGACAACAAAGCUAAACCAUCUGACAUAACCAAUCAAAAUAUUGAUAAUUUUGUUUUUAAAUAUGGAGGACAAGAAGAAGAGCGAACGGAACAAGAAAAAGCAGAAAAAGAAAAAGCAGAAAAAGAAAAGGCGGAAAAAGAGAAAGCGGAAAAAGAAAAAGCGGAAAAAGAAAAAGCAGAAAAAGAAAAAGGAACGAGUGAUAAUUUAUUAUUACCUACUUGUGCAAAUAGACAAAAUAACACACAGGGAGAUUCAAAAAUUAAACAAGACAUUGGAUAUAGUAUAGAAAUAGAAACAAACAAAAAAACAAAUGUAGAAGUUAAUAAUAAAACUAAAAACGAUUGCAAUAAUAAUAUAAAUAACGAAAAACAAAUUAACAAAGUAGAAAAAAGCAAAACUAAAAAUUACAAUAAUUUUACC
rnacentral:lncRNA from 1 species